rnacentral:rRNA from 1 species
GGAGGGUGCGAGCGUUGUCCGGAAUCAUUGGGCGUAAAGGGCGCGUAGGUGGCCCGGUCAGUCUUUGGUGAAAGCGCGGGACUCAACCCUGCGUCGGCCAGGGAUACUGCCGCGGCUCGAGCACUGUAGAGGCAGGCGGAAUUCCGGGUGUAGCGGUGGAAUGCGUAGAGAUCCGGAAGAACGCCGGUGGCGAAGGCGGCCUGCUGGGCAGUUUAGCUGACACUGAGGCGCGACAGCGUGGGGAGCAAACAGGAUUAGAUACCCUGGUAGUCCACGCCGUAAACGAUGGGCACUAGGCGCUUGGGGGAGCGACCCCCCGAGGGCCGGCGCUAACGCAUUAAGUGCCCCGCCUGGGGAGUACGGCCGCAA